CAAGUUCCCGAGGGCUGUGCGGGCGAACUGGCCUGGGAGCCCCAAAAGUGGGAGGGGCAAGGCCGUCCCCCGCCUUCCCUGCUCCGUGGGUGCCCCCUGGGCCGGCCGUUUCCACAUCUCCCGGGCUGCCACGGCCUGGGACCGAGCCGGGCGCGCACCGGCGCCCGCGCCGCCCCGAAGCCCGACUGCCACAGCCCGGCCCGCCGGCCCAGAGCCGCGCGGCCGCUCCGACCCGCCGGCCAGGCCGGUCCUCGCCCCCAGGCCCCGGCCCCGCCCGCUCGGGCCUCCGCGCGCCGCCCCCCGGCUCGCCACCACCCUCGGGCAGGGGGCAGGGGGCAGGGGGCCGGGGGCACCGGGGCUCCGGGCCGCGCGGCGGCGUCCCCGCGCCUACCUCAGCGACCGCGGCUCCUCCUCCCGGGGCUGCCUCAGCUGGCGGACGGCGCUCGCCUACCGGACUCGCAGCGGCGCGGGAUCUGGGCUGCGGGCGCGGCGUGUGAGGAGCCGAGGCCCGAGCGCGCCCCGUCCAGCCGCCCGCCCGACCGCCCGUCAGUCACCUCCUCCCCCUGGCGCCCGCCCGCCAGGCCCCGCCCCGCCCCGCCCGCCCGUCAGGCCCCGCCCCGCCCCGCCCGCCCGCCAGGCCCCGCCCACCCCGCCCGCCAGGCCCCGCCCACCCCGCCGGCCCGAGCCGGGAAGGGGGCCGCCGAGGGGCGCCGCGAGAGCCGCAGGGUCUGCCUCCCGUGGGGGCCUUCGAUACCCGGCGGGGCCCCCACUAGGGACGUGAUUCGUGGUGCUUGCUGCGAAGUCUCUUCGCUCGGGUUUGUCGUUACUGCGAUUUUCCUGCCGUUAUCAUUUUGUGAUCGUUGUUAUUGGCCCCGUCAUUGGUUCUUUCACCCUCCCGGAGCCCGCAGCAGCAUUCGGUGGAGGCGGGAGAUGGCGGACACGCAGCCCCUUCCUGCAGACCCGACUCUCCUGGUCGCCCGGGACUCCCAGGGGCCCGCACCUGUGCCACUGCCUUGUGAAGUCGACCAGUUGGAGAUGAUUUUGAAUCAAUGAUGGAGAGAUAUGGAACAUCAUUCGUGUAUCAAUUCAGUAUAUAUUUAAUAGCCACCUGCUGUGGGCCAGGCACCAAGGAAUGCUGAGCAUAUGGAGUGAGCAAGAAGAUGUGCCCCCUGCCCCAAUCCUGCAGUCAAGGCAUGUGAAGAACAUUUGGACUGAAAAGGAUGAGAGUGAUAUCAGGAAGAUGGUGUCUUCAAAAGUA
rnacentral:lncRNA from 12 species